CUACCUUAACCUAUUGGCAAGUUACACACUUUGCCACAAACUUUUCUAUAUCCUUAUUCAUGUCACUCCACUAAUAGACUUCCCGCAAGUCGCGGUACAUCUUAGUGGCACCGGGAUAAUUAAAAUAUCGUGCACCAUGCACCUCAGACAUAAUUCUCUACCUUAAAUCACCAACACAUGGAACACACAAUCUAUUCUGACAUCUCAACACACCAU
rnacentral:lncRNA from 1 species